UACGUAGGAAGCAAGCGUUGUCCGGAAUUACUGGGCGUAAAGCGCGUGUAGGCGGUACGACAAGUCUGCUGUGAAAGCGCCCGGCUUAACCGGGCGAGGUCGGUGGAAACUGUCGCACUGGAGGCCGGUAGAGGGGGGUGGAAUUCCCGGUGUAGUGGUGAAAUGCGUAGAGAUCGGGAGGAACACCUGUGGCGAAGGCGGCCCCCUGGGCCGCGCCUGACGCUGAGACGCGAAAGCGUGGGGAGCGAGCCGG
rnacentral:rRNA from 1 species